ACAGUGGGGCUUUUCCUGUUUCUUGGACAGUGGGGGCUGAAAACUGAAGUUUUGUGAUGUGGACCAUCCUCUAUUUCUUGGGUCCCUAAAUUAGGUCCUAGACCCAUUUCCACUGCUAGGGGAGGUUCUCCCCCGCCACACACACACACACACACACACACACAUACACACCACCAAACAAUGCUUGGUACACCAGCUGGGUGUCCUACAAUUCAAUUCAAUUAUGACACUAUCUACCUGGAGACAGCAUCAGAUUCCACAGGUUAAGAGCUCAGUUCUCCAAGACUACUUCCCAACCCUGUCCUUCAGACACCAAUUGCAAGCUCAAAUGACCUGCGCUUUUGACUGACCACAAAUUAGAGGUUCCGGAGAUCCCCUCUAACCUAGGAUGCUAAUCUCAAGUCCAGGUUAUCACUGAUACUUCUCACUGACUGGCUAUUAUCAAUCAGAAGUUUCUGGGAAUUCCUUGGCGAUCCAGUGGUUAGGGCUCCGCGCUUCCAUUGCGGGGGGGGGGGGGGGCGAGGGCGUG